GUGUACACGGUUUAUGGCUAGCUGACUGCUUCUAGGGUGCAAAUUGCCAUCUCCCUGAUGGGAGCUGGGAUUAGAUGAGAGCAGACCUGCCAAGAGCUGUGUAGUUCAUCAACAAAGAAGUGCUUUAUCAAAACAUCUUUCUUACACUGUUUACAUUAGAAAGAUGAGGUCAGGAUGUCCUACAGCAUCCUGCAUCAUAGGAUGCCACUGACCAAGGCAAUGCAUCAUUGUUGGUAUGCUGCUGAGCCCACAUCCUCCAAACCUGGAGGUGAACUCCUCUGGCAGAUUCCCAAAGGGGGAGGCAGUGAUGCCCGUGAUCCUUGAUUCCUGUGCCACUGAAUCAAACACAGCAUUUGUGCACUGUAUUAAAAACCUCUGCAUCUAUCUGUAUACAACA